rnacentral:lncRNA from 1 species
AGGGCAGCAUUCUGAGCUCUCCCAUCGGCUCCCUGCACUUCCCUACUGCCCAGUUGCUCCACUCCUUGCCUCGUUCCUCCAAGUUUUCAAAUUCAAGGAGGAAUGAAUUCAGCUGGCUUGUCUCCAGGUCCCGAAGAGCAGGCAGGUGGGUAGGAGGGUCCGCGGGCAGGACCCCAGGCUUGUGAGGGAAGAACUCCUGUGAGGUGUGGCUGCCCAACAAUCGGUGAGCGCUGGGGGCAGACGGGCAUGACCAGGCCGGUCACCUGGGGCUGCCCCAGCGUUGCCUCCACAGCACUGAAUCCUUUUAACCUCUGACAUGGAUAUCUUCUGCUCCCUCCUGUUGUAGCCACGCCACAGGCGUUUUGAACUUGAAUAUUUGUCAAAUGCUGGUUUGACAUGGACCUUCCACGAAGCUGAUGUCACCCAUCCUCC